GGCUCGUCGGCGCGGCCGAGGCGGUCGGCUUCGUGCGCCGGCUCGCGUUCGACCGGCCCGAGGCGGCGUUCGAUGCGGCGUUCAGCUC
rnacentral:tRNA from 1 species